rnacentral:rRNA from 1 species
AACGAACGCUGGCGGCAGGCUUAACACAUGCAAGUCGAGCGCCCCGCAAGGGGAGCGACAGACGGGUGAGUAACGCGUGGGAAUCUACCCAUCUCUACGGAAUAACGCAUGGAAACGUGUGCUAAUACCGUAUACGUCCUUCGGGAGAAAGAUUUAUCGGAGAUGGAUGAGCCCGCGUUGGAUUAGCUAGUUGGUGGGGUAAAGGCCUACCAAGGCGACGAUCCAUAGCUGGUCUGAGAGGAUGAUCAGCCACACUGGGACUGAGACACGGCCCAGACUCCUACGGGAGGCAGCAGUGGGGAAUAUUGGACAAUGGGCGCAAGCCUGAUCAGCCAUGCCGCGUGAGUGAUGAAGGCCCUAGGGUUGUAAAGCUCUUUCACCGGUGAAGAUAAUGACGGUAACCGGAGAAGAAGCCCCGGCUAACUUCGUGCCAGCCGCCGCGGUAAUAC